UAGCGGAUGGAAAAGAAAAUAACAAGGAUUCCCCUAGUAACGGCGAGUGAAGCGGGAAGAGCUCAAAUUUGAAAUCUGGCGGUCUACGGCCGUCCGAGUUGUAGUCUAGAGAAGUGUUUUCCGUGCUGGACCGUGUACAAGUCCCUUGGAAUAGGGCGUCGUAGAGGGUGAGAAUCCCGUCUCUGACACGGACUACCAGUGCUCUGUGAUGCACUCUCGAAGAGUCGAGUUGUUUGGGAAUGCAGCUCAAAAUGGGUGGUAAAUUCCAUCUAAAGCUAAAUAUUGGUGGAAGACCGAUAGCGAACAAGUACCGUGAGGGAAAGAUGAAAAGCACUUUGGAAAGAGAGUUAAACAGUACGUGAAAUUGUUGAAAGGGAAACGCUUGAAGUCAGUCGCGUCCUUCGAGAUUCAGCUUGGCCUUGGCCUGGUGUAUUUCUUGUUGGACGGGCCAGCAUCAAUUUUGACCACUGGAUAAAGGCAGGGGGAAUGUGGCACCUCCGGGUGUGUUAUAGCCCCUUGUUGUAUACAGUGGUUGGGAUUGAGGUCUGCAGCACGCCUUUAUUGGCCGGGGUUCGCCCACGUUACGUGCUUAGGAUGCUGGCGUAAUGGCUUUUAAGCGACCCGUCUGA
rnacentral:rRNA from 1 species